ACGGUUCUCGCACCGGCGACGGAUCAUUCAAGUGUCUGCCCUAUCAACUUUCGUCGGUACGGUAUUUGCCUACCGAGGUUCUUACGGGUGACGGGGAAUCAGGGUUCGAUUCCGGAGAGGGAGCCUGAGAAACGGCUACCACAUCCAAGGAAGGCAGCAGGCGCGCAAAUUACCCAUUCCCGACGCGGGGAGGUAGUGACGAAAAAUAACAAUGCAGGACUCGUUCGAGGCCCUGUAAUUGGAAUGAGUACACUUUAAAAGCUUUAACGAGUAUCCAUUGGAGGGCAAGUCUGGUGCCAGCAGCCGCGGUAAUUCCAGCUCCAAAAGUAUAUAUUUAAGUUGUUGCGGUUAAAAAGCUCGUAGUUGGAUUUUGGGCGCAGGCGGCCGGUCCGUCGCAAGGCGUGUACUGGACGUCCUGGCCUUCCCUCCGGUUCUCCGCCGGUGCUCUUGACUGAGUGUCGGCGGCGGCCGGAACGUUUACUUUGAAAAAAUUAGAGUGUUCAAAGCAGGCUCUCGAGCCUGGAUAAUGGUGCAUGGAAUAAUGGAAUAGGACCUCGGUUCUAUUUUGUUGGUUUUCGGAGCGCGAGGUAAUGAUUAAGAGGGACAGACGGGGGCAUUCGUACUGUGCCGUUAGAGGUGAAAUUCUUGGAUCGGCGCAAGACGAACGACUGCGAAAGCAUUUGCCAAGAAUGUUUUCUUUAAU
rnacentral:ncRNA from 1 species